UAAUGGAUGGUUGGACUGAAUGAUCUGGGAGGUCUUUUCCAACCUUGAUGAUUCUAUGAUUCAGUUGAUUCCAGCAGACUUCAUAGUGGCUAAAAGUAUAAGACAUCAUACUGAAUUCUGAUAUUUUGCAAGGUUACUGUAAUACAUUUGAAUUGUUAAGUUGAAAUCUUCUUGUUUUCUGGGAAAAGGAACUCUUGUCUGUUAGAGUUCCAUGGCAAUUCAUGUGAGGUUUUUGUGUUUUGUUUUUUUUUUUCCCUUCAGGUUUACCAGCAGGUCCUUGUUGAGCCGGACUGGUUUCUUUACAAUUUAAGAGAGAUUUCUAUCAAAGGAAUAUUAGAGUAGUUGAUUUUGGCAGCACUGUUGUGCUACACUUAAAGUCUUGUCAGACUUACUGUUGCAAGGCAUUAUUUUGAAACUCUUACAAAAUAAAAAUUUUCACCGAAGUCUACGUUCAAGAUUUAUUUCCUUCUGGAAAGUAGAGUCGUCUGCCAAGAGUUGGUCAAAGGGGAAUUUUACUUCAUGCUUUUGAAUGUUAAAAGUAUUAGAAUCCUAAACCUGAGAUGCAAUAUAUUAAGCCAAUGCUCACGUUCUGUGUGAAGCAGUGGCUGGCAGACACAAUGAGCAGAUUCGGUCUCAAUAUAUUCUCUUUCAGCAGACCUUAUGCUAUCAUAAGAUUUCUCCAUGACAUAAUUUGAGUGAGGGGCUCAGACAGCACAUGGAUCCUUUGUGGUCAACUAUGGACAAAGCAAACUGAAAACAAUUCCUAGAAAAACCUCCUUUCUGAUGUUGAGGAGGAGGUGAAAUUAACUACUAUAACUAAAAGAGCUGUUGAAAAAUUAAGUGUGAACCUGGAUUUCUGUUUAUCAGAAAAACAAUGUUACUGAACUCUGAAUGUGAAGACUCCUGAAAAUGACACCUGUUUCUAUUAUACAAGUUCAAGGAUCAUUCUCUGGAAAGAAUGAAAUGAAGCAGAAGAUUGAGAGAACAAGACAUCUAUUGCAGAGAGCAAAGAAAAGCAAGCAGAGAAAAAUCUGUAAAUG